rnacentral:rRNA from 1 species
CCCUUAGAUGUUCUGGGCCGCACGCGCGCUACACUGAGUGUCUGAGAUACGAGUCUGCCUGGUCCGGCAAGGUCUAGGUAAUCGCUAAAAGACACAUCAUGCUUGGGAUAGAUUAUUGCAAAUAUUAAUCUUGAACGAGGAAUUCCUAGUAAGCGCAAGUCAACAGCUUGCGUUGAUUACGUCCCUGUCCUUUGUACACACCGCCCGUCGCUACUACUGAUUGGAUGUUUAAGCGAGGUUCUCGAACUGCUAGCGACUUAGCUUCGGUGAGGUCGCAGUGUGGGAAGUGAACCUAGCUUUGGUGUCUAGAGGAAGUAAAAGUCGUAACA